CCUGCCCGUUGAUUUUUUUGAAAGGCCGCGGUAUAUUAACUGUGCAAAGGUAGCAUAAUCAUUAGCUUUUUAAUUGGGGGCUUGUAUGAAGGGUUGGACAAAGAAAGAGCUGUCUUUAUUUUUAGGUUUGAAUUUAACUUUUAAGUGAAAAGGCUUAAAUAAGCUUAAGGGACGAUAAGACCCUAUAAAUCUUUAUAUUAAACAAUUUUACUAAAAAAUAAUGUUUGUUUAGUUUAAGUAAAAUUAGUGAUAUUUUAUUGGGGUGAUAAGAAUACAUAAUUAACUGUUUUUAGUAAUUUACAAAAUUAUUUGGUUAGAUUAAUAGAUCCUCUUUAGGGAAUUUAAGUUUAAGUUACUUUAGGGAUAACAGCGUUAUUUUUCUUGAGAGUUCUUAUCGAAAGAAAAGUUUGCGACCUCGAUGUUGAAUUAAAAUUUCUUUAUGGCGUAGGAGCUAUAAGUAGAAAGUCUGUUCGACUUUU
rnacentral:rRNA from 1 species